UACGGGGGGGGCAAGCGUUGUUCGGAAUUACUGGGCGUAAAGGGCUCGUAGGUGGCCAACUAAGUCAGACGUGAAAUCCCUCGGCUUAACCGGGGAACUGCGUCUGAUACUGGAUGGCUUGAGUUCGGGAGAGGGAUGCGGAAUUCCAGGUGUAGCAGUGAAAUGCGUAGAUAUGCGGAGGAACACCGAUGGCGAAGGCAAUCCCUGGGCCUGCACUGACGCUCAUGCACGAAAGCGUGGGAGCAAACAGG
rnacentral:rRNA from 1 species